UGCCCGGGUUUAUUGUUCGGAGUUUGCUCUCCUAGGCAGACUGCCUACCACGGCUAACGACCUCCACCUGCCCGGGUUUGUUGUUCGGAGUUUGCUCUCCUAGGUAGACUGCCUACCAUGGCUAACGAGCCCCACCUGCUCGGGUUUGUUGUUCGGAGUUUGCUCUCCUAGGUGAAUUGCCUACCACGGCUAACGAGCUCCACCUGCCCGGGUUUGUUGUUCGGAGUUUGCUCUCCUAGGUGAAUUGCCUACCACGGCUAACGAGCUCCACCUGCCCGGGUUUGUUGUUCGGAGUUUGCUCUCCUAGGUGAAUUGCCUACCACGGCUAACGAGCCCCACCUGCCCGGGUUUGUUGUUCGGAGUUUGCUCUUCUAGGUGAAUUGCCUACCACGGCUAACGAGCCCCACCUGCCCGGGUUUGUUGUUCGGAGUUUGCUCUUCUAGGUGAAUUGCCUACCACGGCUAACCAGCCGCACCUGCCCGGGCUUGUUGCCGGCAGAUCUCCGGCACCUCCGUGGAGGCCCCGGGGGACGCCGAGGCGCCCUGCCGGGAGAUCUUCAUUCCUGCCAUGCUCGCCAGGGAGACCUUGGUCUCGCUGGCGCUUCGCACCCCGCCGAGGCGAGGGGGGAAGAUGCAGGAUCUCGCUUAAUAAGACUACCAGACUGGAUUAUGAAAUUAAAAACAAAUAGGGAAAAGUCGCCGAUCACCGCGUUCACCGUUCUGGGACGGAAGGCCAAAGGGAACGCGCCCAAACAUCCAAAGAAAUCCUCGCGACGGCUUGCGGCGCAGGAUCCGUUUCCCUCUUUAUUGUUUUCCUUCCGUGACUGACUGAUUGCUGGAAUGACUGACUGGAUGACUUUACUUAGCAAGAAACAGUUCACCAGGCGACAUCUUUAAGCUACAUCGUAUUAACACAACUGUUGAGAUCAAACAACAGUGAGUGUGGCUCUCACGGGGACGGCCGCACAGGCUUCCCGACUUACUCCCACUGGGCUCCCGCU